UUAUUGGUUUGAGCAGAGGAUGAAAUUUGUAUUUAUAAAAUGAUAAAACCAUUUAUUACAUUGGAAAGGGAAGAAAUAUGGCUAAAAUCAUAAAGUUUUUUCAUGUCAUGAUUGUUAUUUUUUCUCUAUUUCUUGUUGCAGCAAUCGUUGAAUCGGGGUGGUAUCCUAGCAGACGAUGUACUAAGGAAACAGAUUGUCAUAAAAAAAUGUGUCCAAAUCAUAUGUUAGAGAAGUGUCUCCGUGGUUGGUGUAAAUGUAUAGAUCCUGAGACUUUUAUACCUUUUUAGUUCUUCAUAAUUCUGUAUUAAGUAUCAUAUCCAAGAGAGUAGUCAAUUUCAAGACAACGGUUUUUCUGUCAUUUAGUUUUUGUGUUUAUGUUGGUACCAUUGAUUUUUAUUUAUUUUUUAUCUAAUUUUAAGAAUUGUAUUUUUAUGACUUUGUAAUCUAGGAUGAUGGAAAUGAAAUAUAAUAUGGUAUCAAUUAAUAUUUAUUUA